GACGAACGCUGGCGGCGUGCUUAACACAUGCAAGUCGAACGAAGUGGCGAACGGGUGAGUAAUACGUGGGUAACCUGCCCUCCUUUUUGGGAUAAGCCUUGGAAACGGGGUCUAAUACCGAAUACAGGGGGAUGGGCUCGCGGCCUAUCAGCUUGUUGGCGGGGUGAUGGCCUACCAAGGCGGUGACGGGUAUCCGGCCGGAGAGGGUGAACUACGACUUGGAGACUGCGAUACGGCCCUGACUCCGACGGGAGGCAGCAGUGGGGUAUAUUGCACUAUGGGCGAAAGCCUGAUGCAGCGACGCCACGUGUGUGAAGAAGGCCUUCGGGUUGUAAGUCACUGUCAGCGGGGAGGCGUUACCCGCAGAAGAAGCACCGGCUAACUCCGUGCCAGCAGCCGCGGUAAUUC
rnacentral:rRNA from 1 species